GAUGAACGCUAGCGGAAGGCUUAAUACAUGCAAGUCGAGCGGUAGGUGGCUUCGGCCAUUGAGAGCGGCGCACGGGUGAGUAACGCGUACAUGACCUGCCUGUCAGAAGGGGAUAGCCCUGGGAAACUGGGAUUAAUACCCUAUGGUAUUGAUAUUAUGAAUGAUAUCAAUUAAAGUUGAGGCGCCGACAGAUGGAUGUGCGUCUGAUUAGCUAGUUGGUAGGGUAACGGCCUACCAAGGCGACGAUCAGUAGGGGGCGUGAGAGCGUGGUCCCCCACACGGGAACUGAGACACGGACCCGACUCCUACGGGAGGCAGCAGUAAGGAAUAUUGGUCAAUGCCCGCAAGGGUGAACCAGCCAUUCCGCGUGGAGGAUGAAGGCCCUAUGGGUUGUAAACUUCUUUUAGAUGGGAAGAAAAUGCUAGAUGUAUCUGGUACUGGCGGUACCAUCAGAAUAAGCACCGGCUAACUCCGUGCCAGCCGCCGCCGUAACAC
rnacentral:rRNA from 1 species